rnacentral:rRNA from 1 species
CACGUAGGGGCCGAGCGUUGUCCGGAAUCAUUGGGCGUAAAGAGCGUGUAGGCGGCUCGAUAAGUCUGCUGUGAAAGUCCAGGGCUCAACCCUGGAAGGCCGGUGGAAACUGUCGGGCUAGAGUCCGGAAGAGGCGAGUGGAAUUCCCGGUGUAGCGGUGAAAUGCGCAGAUAUCGGGAGGAACACCAAUGGCGAAGGCAGCUCGCUGGGACGGUACUGACGCUGAGACGCGAAAGCGUGGGGAGCAAACAGG